AGAACUUUGAAGAGAGAGUUCAAGAGUACGUGAAACCGUUCAGGGGUAAACCUGAGAAACCCAAAAGAUCGAACGGGGAGAUUCAUCGUCAGCGGCGCUGGCUUCCGUGCGGUGCGCGAUGUCGCGCGAGCGGGUCUCGGCUCGUUUCGCGCUGGCACGCCACCGCUGCGCGAUGCGUCCGGCGUCGUCGGCGUGCACUUCUCCCCUUGUAGAACGUCGCGACCCGUUGGGUGUCGGUCCACGGCCCGCUGUGUCGACUGUCGAGGAACGCGUUCACGCGCGUCCCUAGGCAGACACGCGGUCGCCCGGCCGGCUGCCCGGCGGUAGCAGUAUCUUCCUUAUGUCGUAACGAGCCGCACAAAGUGCGUACUCCGGCUCGACGGCAGGCUCGCCUCGCUCGGCGUUUACGGACCUGGUGCCGUUGUCGAGCGUUGUCUGCGGGCCGUUUCGCCGUCGAUGUCCUCGUACCGGCUCUCGAAAGUUCGCCUCGGCGGACGAUACCUGUCGGCGACGCUACUGCUUUGGGUACUUUCAGGA
rnacentral:rRNA from 1 species